AGCGAACGCUGGCGGCAGGCUUAACACAUGCAAGUCGAACGGGCGUAGCAAUACGUCAGUGGCAGACGGGUGAGUAACGCGUGGGAACGUACCUUUUGGUUCGGAACAACCCAGGGAAACUUGGGCUAAUACCGGAUAAGCCCUUACGGGGAAAGAUUUAUCGCCGAAAGAUCGGCCCGCGUCUGAUUAGCUAGUUGGUGUGGUAACGGCGCACCAAGGCGACGAUCAGUAGCUGGUCUGAGAGGAUGAUCAGCCACAUUGGGACUGAGACACGGCCCAAACUCCUACGGGAGGCAGCAGUGGGGAAUAUUGGACAAUGGGCGCAAGCCUGAUCCAGCCAUGCCGCGUGAGUGAUGAAGGCCCUAGGGUUGUAAAGCUCUUUUACCCGGGAAGAUAAUGACUGUACCGGGAGAAUAAGCCCCGGCUAACUUCGUGCCAGCCGCCGCGGU
rnacentral:rRNA from 1 species